GACGAACGCUGGCGGCGUGCCUAAUACAUGCAAGUCGAGCGGACGGAUGGGAGCUUGCUCCCAGACCGUCAGCGGCGGACGGGUGAGUAACACGUGGGCAACCUGCCUGUAAGACUGGGAUAACUCCGGGAAACCGGGGCUAAUACCGGAUAACUCUUUCCCUCACAUGAGGGAAAGCUGAAAGAUGGCAUCUCGCUAUCACUUACAGAUGGGCCCGCGGCGCAUUAGCUAGUUGGUGAGGUAACGGCUCACCAAGGCGACGAUGCGUAGCCGACCUGAGAGGGUGAUCGGCCACACUGGGACUGAGACACGGCCCAGACUCCUACGGGAGGCAUCAGUAGGGAAUCUUCCGCAAUGGACGAAAGUCUGACGGAGCAACGCCGCGUGAGUGAUGAAGGUUUUCGGAUCGUAAAACUCUGUUGUCAGGGAAGAACAAGUACCGGAGUAACUGCCGGUACCUUGACGGUACCUGACCAGAAAGCCACGGCUAACUACGUG
rnacentral:rRNA from 1 species